rnacentral:misc_RNA from 1 species
GGACCACUGAGCACUGAUUU